UAGGGAAUCUUCCGCAAUGGACGCAAGUCUGACGGAGCAACGCCGCGUGAGUGAAGAAGGAUUUCGGUUCGUAAAACUCUGUUGUUAGAGAAGAACAGCGCAUAGAGUAACUGUUAUGCGUGUGACGGUAUCUAACCAGAAAGCCACGGCUAACUACGUGCCAGCAGCCGCGGUAAUACGUAGGUGGCAAGCGUUGUCCGGAUUUAUUGGGCGUAAAGCGAGCGCAGGCGGUCAAUUAAGUCUGAUGUGAAAGCCCCCGGCUCAACCGGGGAGGGUCAUUGGAAACUGGUUGACUUGAGUGCAGAAGAGGAGAGUGGAAUUCCAUGUGUAGCGGUGAAAUGCGUAGAUAUAUGGAGGAACACCAGUGGCGAAGGCGACUCUCAGGUCUGUAACUGACGCUGAGGUUCGAAAGCGUGGGUAGCAAACAGG
rnacentral:rRNA from 1 species